rnacentral:misc_RNA from 1 species
GAUGAAGAACGUAGCGAAAUGCGAUAAGUAGUGUGAAUUGCAGAAUUCAGUGAAUCAUCGAAUCUUUGAACACACAUUGCGCCCCUUGGUAUUCCAUGGGGCAUGCCUGUUCGAGCGUCAUUUGUACCUUCAAGCUCUGCUUGGUGUUGGGUGUUUGUCUCGCCUCUGCGUGUAGACUCGCCUCAAAACAAUUGGCAGCCGGCGUAUUGAUUUCGGAGCGCAGUACAUCUCGCGCUUUGCACUCAUAACGACGACGUCCAAAAGUACAUUUUUACACUCUUGACCUCGGAUCAGGUAGGGAUACCCGCUGAACUUAAGCAUAUCAAUAAGCGGAGGA